rnacentral:rRNA from 1 species
GACGAACGCUGGCGGCGUGCUUAACACAUGCAAGUCGAACGGUGACGGAGAGCUUGCUCUCCUGAUCAGUGGCGAACGGGUGAGUAACACGUGGGCAACCUGCCCCAGACUUCGGGAUAACGCAUCGAAAGAGGUGCUAAUACCGAAUACGAACGCCGUGGGCAUCCACGGUGUUGGAAAGUUUUUCGGUCGGGGAUGGGCCCGUGGCCUAUCAGCUUGUUGGUGAGGUAAUGGCUCACCAAGGCGACGACGGGUAGCCGGCCUGAGAGGGCGACCGGCCACACUGGGACUGAGACACGGCCCAGACUCCUACGGGAGGCAGCAGUGGGGAAUAUUGCGCAAUGGGCGAAAGCCUGACGCAGCAACGCCGCGUGGGGGAUGAAGGCCUUCGGGUUGUAAACCUCUUUCAGCAGGGAAGAAGCGAAAGUGACGGUACCUGCAGAAGAAGCACCGGCUAACUACGUGCCAGCAGCCGCCGUAA